rnacentral:rRNA from 1 species
CCCUUAGAUGUUCUGGGCCGCACGCGCGCUACACUGACGAAUGCAACGAGCUUAUAACCUUGGCCGAAAGGUCUGGGUAAUCUCCAAAUUUCGUCGUGAUGGGGAUAGAUUAUUGCAAUUAUUAAUCUUCAACGAGGAAUGCCUAGUAAGCGCAAGUCAUCAGCUUGCGUUGAUUACGUCCCUGCCCUUUGUACACACCGUCCGUCGCUCCUACCGAUUGAAUGGUCCGGUGAAGCGCUCGGACCGCGGCCUCUUGACGGUUCGCUGUCGAUUGGCUGUGGGAAGUUCGUUAAACCUUAUCAUUUAGAGGAAGGAGAAGUCGUAACA